AUGGCGUCGACGGAGGAGCAGGUCUUCCUUGGAUCGAGUAACCUUUCGUAUCACGGCGCCCACCACCCCGACACCUGCGCCGACUGGGAUUACCCGGAAGACCCAGGCGACCGGCGGAACGGGGUGGAGGUUGCCGAGCUCCAUGACCAGCCGGCGCGCAUGAGCACCGGAGGGGAAGAAUACGAUGGUAGCACACAGGAGAGCAGCGAUUAUGAAGACGGCGGCAAUUGCCAAGUGAUACUAGCCGAGACAAACUGUCCAGGAAAGCUCUACCCCAAGAGCCAAGCAGAUGACAUAGAUGACAAAUGGGUACAUAGGUACUCCCAACAGCUUAAUGAACACUCGAAGCUGUGCAGGGAGAUUAUGGCUCUGGGAGUUUAUGAUGAUGAUUAUGAUUAUGAUGAUGAUGAUGCUCCUUGCCCCGUCUCUCCCAUGAGAGUGUUCCCUUACGCAACAGGUGCCUGCGUCCUUGGGCUCAACUGCCACCAUCGUAUCUACAGGACCCAUGACAACUCUACCACCCCAUCAACUCUUGGAAAGCGCACACCAAGUUAUAUGCUACAAUUAUUCUCCAUGCGUCUAUCAAGCUUUGAACCCUCGUAUCCCAUUAGUGUGUAUGGAAUAUUUGCCAUUCGGGAUUACUUGGACCCACGACGGAACUACGUCUUUAACCGUCCCAGGGAUGACGCUGUCACGAUUGAAAAGCAGGCUUUAGUAGAAGUUGAUCUUUGGGUAAAGAAAGAAGGGGAUGAUGAAUCAGAUGACAAGCAACUACUUUCUGCAUAUGCUGAGAUUGAUGUCCGGACUGAAGCUGAUCUCAUGCUUUAUGAACGGAUUUCUGGUGAUAAUUGCAAUUUGGACUUUAAAUAUAAAGUCCUUUCAGAAAGUGUUGAGGCUGUAAUACAAGUAUAUGCAAAGGUCAGCCAUCCUCACCAUGUGUUGUUCACUGCUUUUAGCACCGAAUAUGAUGAUUAUCCUCUUCGUGGGGUUGUGCUGUUUGAUGACAAAUUAUUUGGCGAGGAAAAACUAUUCAAGCAUGUUGUCGCGGUGAAAGCAAAUGAAGGACUGCAUGUUUUUUUAGAAGUGAACGGUUCAGUGUUCCAGUGGACUUUUCAAGAUGAACAUGUUGGAGCUGUUGUUUCUCCUGAUGACUCAAUCUUGGACUAUGGACAGUUCUUCGUGAGGGCGGUCGGCAGGGCAGGUGAAGUGAUUUUGGAGUAUAUGUUGUGCCUUACAGAGCAAGAUGUCCAAGUGCUUGGGCUACCAAAGUUGAAAAAAACAGUGGCGAUGGCAGCCGGGUACUUAUGUCCUAAGGCCAAGGUAAAUGUUGGUGUGGGUUUUGAUGUGGACACGCUCCUGUGGCCGGUUGGAGCAGUCAUCCGAGACCAUCAUGGAAAAUUCAUUGUAGCUGCAAAUGAAAAGACUGAUCUUUGCUUUGACUCAUUCACGACACAGGCAAUUGCAGUGAGGUUUGGAAUGAACCUGACACGUAUAGUUGGAUGUAAUGAAACUACUCCUCAUCGGAGUUCUCUAACCGCUCCCAGAACUCAUCCUCGCUGGGGUCGUCACACCUUCUCCUCCGAGUCACCCCAGUCCGAUGAGUCCGACUUGAUGGGGAUCACCGUCGAGGGCCCGGGCUCGUCCUCCUUCACCCCCUUCUUCUUCUACUUAGCCUCGCGCUUCCAGUAG
rnacentral:rRNA from 1 species